rnacentral:rRNA from 1 species
GACGAGGGAUCCUAGCGUUGUUCGGAAUUAUUGGGUGUAAAGAGCUCGUAGGCGGUUUGUCGCGUCUGCCGUGAAAGUCCGGGGCUCAACUCCGGAUCUGCGGUGGGUACGGGCAGACUAGAGUGAUGUAGGGGAGACUGGAAUUCCUGGUGUAGCGGUGAAAUGCGCAGAUAUCAGGAGGAACACCAAUGGCGAAGGCAGGUCUCUGGGCAUUAACUGACGCUGAGGAGCGAAAGCAUGGGGAGCGAACAGG